GGAGGGAUGCCGGAGUGGUCGAACGGGCUUGACUCGAAAUCAAGUGUACGCUCGCGCGUACCGUGGGUUCGAAUCCCACUCCCUCCGCCA
rnacentral:tRNA from 1 species